CGGUAAUUCCAGCUCCAAUAGCGUAUAUUAAAGUUGUUGCGGUAAAAAAGCUCGUAGUUGGAUUUCUGUUGAGAGCGACCGGUCCAUACCACGUAUGCGUAUCUGGCUUGCUCUCGGCAUCCUCUCGAUAGACGUUGCUGCGCUUGAUUGCGUGGCGCGGAUCUCGGGACUUUUACUUUGAGGAAAUUAGAGUGUUCACGGCAGGCUUUCGCCAGAAUACAUUAGCAUGGAAUAAUACUAUAGGAUCUUGGUUCUAUCUUGUUGGUUUCUAGAAUUGAGAUAAUGAUUAAUAGGGACAAUUGGGGGCAUUCGUAUCAACACGUCAGAGGUGGAAUUCUUGGAUUGUGUUGCGACGAACUACUGCGAAAGCAUUUGCCAAGGAUGUUUUCAUUGAUCAAGAACGAAAGUAAGGGGAUCGAAGACGAUUAGAUACCGUCGUAGUCUUUACCAUAAACUAUGCCGACUAGAGAUGGGGCAUCGUUCAUUUACGACUUGCUCCGCACCUUAUGAGAUAUCAAAGUUUUUGGGUUCCGACUGAAACUUAAAGGAAUUGACGGAAGGGCACCACCAGGAGUGGAGCCUGCGGCUUAAUUUGACUCAACACGGGGAAACUCACCAGGUCCAGACAUAAUAAGGAUUGACAGAUUGAUAGCUCUUUCUUGAUUUUAUGGGUGGUGGUGCAUGGCCGUUCUUAGUUCGUGGAGUGAUUUGUCUGCUUAAUUGCGUUAACGAACGAGACCUUAACCUGCUAAAUAGGAGCGCCUAUCUUCGGAUAAGCGUCUUUCUUCUUAGAGGGACUUUAUGCGUUUCAGCAUGAGGAAGUUUGAGGCUAAAACAGGUCUGUGAUGCCCUUCGAUGUUCUGGGCUGCACGCGCGCUACACUGAUGCGUUCAACGAGUGUACAACCUUGCCCGAUAGGGUUGGGUAACCUUUUGAACACGCAUCGUGAUGGGGAUAGAUUAUUGCAAUUAUUAAUCUUCAACGAGGAAUUCCUAGUAAUGGCGAAUCAUCAGUUCGUCGUGAUUACGUCCCUGCCCUUUGUACACACCGCCCGUCGCUCCUACCGAUUGAGCAAUCCGGUGAAUAUUUCGGACCGAAUAGCUGCGGGGUAACCCAUAGCCGUUUGGAAAGUCAAGUAAACCUUAUUGCUUAGAGGAAGGAGAAGUCGUAACAAGGUAACC
rnacentral:rRNA from 1 species